UACGGAGGGUGCAAGCGUUAUCCGGAUUCACUGGGUUUAAAGGGUGCGUAGGUGGGCAAGUAAGUCAGUGGUGAAAUCUCCGUGCUUAACACGGAAACUGCCAUUGAUACUAUUUUUCUUGAAUUUUCUGGAGGUCAGCGGAAUAUGUCAUGUAGCGGUGAAAUGCUUAGAUAUGACAUAGAACACCAAUUGCGAAGGCAGCUGACUACAGGGAUAUUGACACUGAGGCACGAAAGCGUGGGGAUCAAACAGG
rnacentral:rRNA from 1 species